rnacentral:rRNA from 1 species
AGUGAACGCUGGCGGCAGGCCUAAUACAUGCAAGUCGAACGGCAGCACAGCAGAGCUUGCUCUGUGGGUGGCGAGUGGCGGACGGGUGAGGAAUACGUGGGAAUCUGCCCAGUCGUGGGGGAUAACGUAGGGAAACUUACGCUAAUACCGCAUGCGCCCUUCGGGGGAAAGCCGGGGACCUUCGGGCCUGGCGCGAUUGGAUGAGCCCACGUCGGAUUAACUAGUUGGCGGGUAAAGGCCCACCAAGGCGACGAUCCGUAGCUGGUCUGAGAGGAUGAUCAAACUCU